AGUGAACGCUGGCGGUAGGCCUAACACAUGCAAGUCGAACGGCAGCACAGUAAGAGUUUGCUCUUACGGGUGGCGAGUGGCGGACGGGUGAGGAAUACAUCGGAAUCUACUUUUUCGUGGGGGUUAACGUAGGGAAACUUACGCUAAUACCGCAUACGACCUACGGGUGAAAGCAGGGGAACUUCGGACCUUGCGCGAUUGAAUGAGCCGAUGUGGCAUUAGCUAGUUGGCGGGGCAAAGGCCUACCAAGGCGACGAUCCGUAGCUGGUCUGAGAGGAUGAUCAGCCACACUGGGACAGGGACACGGUCCAGACUCCUACGGGAGGCAGCAGUGGGGAAUUUUGGACAAUGGGCGCAAGCCUGAUCCAGCCAUACCGCGUGGGUGAAGAAGGCCUUCGGAUUGUAAAGCCCUUUUGUUGGGAAAGAAAAGCAGCAAGUUAAUACCCCGCUGUUCUGACGGUACCCAAAGAAUAAGCACCGGCUAACUACGUG
rnacentral:rRNA from 1 species